rnacentral:rRNA from 1 species
CCCUUAGAUGUCCUGGGCCGCACGCGCGCUACACUGAUGCAUUCAACGAGUAUUUCCUUGGCCGAGAGGCCUGGGCAAUCUUUUAAACCUGCAUCGUGAUAGGGAUAGAUUAUUGCAAUUAUUAAUCUUGAACGAGGAAUUCCUAGUAAGCGCGAGUCAUCAGCUCGUGCUGAUUACGUCCCUGCCCUUUGUACACACCGCCCGUCGCUCCUACCGAUUGAGUGCUCAGGUGAAUAAUUCGGACUGCAGCAAUGUUUGGAUCCCGAACGUUGCAGCGGAAAGUUUAGUGAACCUUAUCACUUAGAGGAAGGAGAAGUCGUAACA